rnacentral:pre_miRNA from 14 species
UUCUGUGGCCUCUGUGAGUAUUCAAGGCUGACACAGGAAGACACUUCCACUGAAAGACCCCCGGAGCGGGGAGACCCUCACUCAAGUCUCAGGAUGAUGCGACCCCCGAAGAACUCACGUGAGA